rnacentral:lncRNA from 1 species
GAUUUGCUUGGAAUUGGGCCGGGCUUCACUCAACAGCAACAACAUGGGAAAUAUUAACAGGAAGCACUUUUGAUGCUACAGGAAAUUAGACUUAUGAUGAGACUUUUGUACUGUAUUAAUGAAAGAACGAGGCUUUGGUCCAAACUUCCUCAUCAGUGACGGCAACAAACUCUUUGUUCCUGUUUCUGAUUCCUGUAUCAAGUAUGCGAAGACACCAGACUAGUCUGCAAAGCCUACUGUCUCUAUGGAAGUUUUCACCCAAAUUCAG